rnacentral:rRNA from 1 species
UACAGAGACUGCAAGCGUUAUUCGGAUUCACUGGGCGUAAAGCGCACGUAGGCGGAUUGUUAAGUCAGGGGUGAAAUCCUGGAGCUCAACUCCAGAACUGCCUUUGAUACUGGCGAUCUUGAGUCCGGGAGAGGUGAGUGGAACUGCGAGUGUAGAGGUGAAAUUCGUAGAUAUUCGCAAGAACACCAGUGGCGAAGGCGGCUCACUGGCCCGGUACUGACGCUGAGGUGCGAAAGCGUGGGAGCAACAGG